ACCAGGGAAAGGGAGGGCAGGUGGGGACUCACUUUGGGCUGUGAAACACAAUGGCUGUGCUGUGGACAUUGCAGAACCUCAUGUUUUGUUUUAAAAAAACGAACACGGGCUGGUGUCUGCUGCUGUGAAGAUAACAUGGUGAGGCUUUCCAUAUUGUGGCGCCAAGGAAGGAGAUUUUCGGGGCUUGUUAGAUUGAUUCCCUGCUAGGAGCAGAAAUUGGUAACGCAGAAUCAGUGCUGUUGAUACCAGACUGAUGCCGACUGUCACUUCCCCCACUGCUCUCGCUGUGAAUAGACGAG